ACAGGGUCACUAUAUAAAAGAAAUACCAUAUAGUUAAAGUAUUUGUGGUGUGGCACUCCUUUGAUCCUAUGUCUUCAAAUGGAUAUUGCUUGUUCUAAGGACACAGAAAGGGGGAAUGUGGAAAGAACUGACUGGGUUAACCCCCGGAGUGUGAGUGGAGUGGAGAUGAGAAAAAGGCAGGCGGCACACAUCGAGGCCCAACCCCAGGCCCCUGGACAGCCCCGACCCAACACCUGCUGCCUCUGCUGGUGUGGCUGCUGCAAGUGUCUCUGGAAUGACGACAGGAUGGAGAGGAGUGAACGACAGACCUGCACCAAGAUGGAUAGUAUUGAAGCUGCAGAAGAACAACACCCCAGUCUAGACGAGGUGCUGUCAUGGGCACGGAGCUUUGAGAUGAUGCUGCGCUCGUUGGAGGGCCGGGAGAUCUUCCGGGAGUUCCUGCGCUCGGAGUACAGUGAGGACAACCUGCUCUUCUGGUUGGCCUGUGAUGAGCUGAAGAAGGAGACAAAUCCCUCCAUGGUGGAUGAGAAGGCCAGGAUCAUAUAUGAAGACUACGUGUCCAUAUUAUCACCUAAAGAGGUGAGUCUGGACUCACGGGUCAGAGAAGGAAUAAACCUGACCCUGGCCGAGCCCAGCAACCUGAUGUAUGAGGAGGCCCAACUCCAGAUCUACACCCUGAUGCACCGGGACUCCUAUCCCCGUUUCCUCAACUCCUCCGUUUACAGAGACCUCCUGGCCAGCAGGAGGCGCACCUGCCUCGACACCUAGACUCCGCCACCGUCCCUCAUUGCCAUCGUACACCAACGAGACUACUACUUAAACUUCAAAUACUACUAUGGUGCCAGAAGUCGGGGUUGGAAAAUCUCUCCCUCUUUUUUGAAUGAAAAGACUGAAUGACAUCCAAGAUAGCUGGUUGUUUUUUUUUUUUAUUUAUAUUUUUAAGCAAUUUAUAUCCAGUUCUCCACUGGAGCCAGGUCGGCCUUUGCUGGUUGGUUAUUGGUCAAUUCAAGACCUUUAAUGCUGGCCAGUGAUUGUUUUGCUAGCAAUCUGUGCUGUUUGUUUCGGUUGACUGGCCAACCUACAUGUCAGCUGUCGGUUGAAGUGGCCUACGUGUUGGCCAGCUGUUGGUUUCCUGUGGACAAGGACUCUUCAGGCGGCGGGGACAGGAGGAGAGAGAGGAAGAGAGACACGCCAACUGUUCCUAUUUGAUGGCUUCUGCAGACAAGGCAGCAGCAGCAGCACCUACCCGUCCCUCCGUCCGUCCAUCCAUCCAUCCAUCCAUCCAUCCAUCCAUCCAAGCACUUUCCUUCUUUAGGAUUCUUUAACUGGGAGAAGUAAGGGCUAGAAUUGUGGUUGGGCAGCUACAUGUAUUAUUCUUACUCAUGAACUUCAGACAAAAAAUCUCUCCACUGAGAAAAUCACAAUGCCUUUACUCGUAAGAAAAGGCAGCACAAGUGCUGCUGGAGUUUUUGCUGGAAAGCACCCACAGUUUGUCCGACAGUCCCCACCUCCCAUCAUUUUUUUCCUCCCCCGUCCUCCCUCAAACUCAUUCCAUCGCAGCCUGACAAGUACUGGUGCCCAAUGGGGGGGGCAGGGAUGCCACUGGAGAAAAUCAAAAGAAAGAAAAGUUUAACGCUAGUGUUUCACAAUGAAUUGAGCAUUUAGGAAAACUGGUUAUGCUUGGAGAACAUGAGCAGAAGCAGCCCUGACCUUUGUCUGUAAGGCGCUAGCUUUAGAAGCUUUAGGCAAUAUGGCAGUCCUUUAAGUUGGACAUCCAAUAUCGCAUUGCAGAUUCGUGAACCAGGUGCCAAACAUGAUGUCAGAGAUGAUGUAGAUAUCAGGUUUGACUUGUCACCAGGCUGCAGAGUGUCGGUCCUGUCUGAUCGUCCAGCGGAUGAAGUUGUGAAAGUGUAGGGUCCUCCUUCAGGUAGCUGCUGCCUCAACACACUCGACACUUGAUAUAUUUUUUUUUAACCAGAGCUCAUGAGAAGGGUUGGUGUAAUAAUGCUAACAUGCUUGCCUUUUCUAAAAGUUUAACUGGGUUUCAGCAUGCUGUAGGCAAGCAGUUAGCAUGCUUGUGCUAACCAUGCUAAUCCCCCAUGUCACUGCCAGCCCUCACACACGCUGGUUUGUUUUUCUAAUCUGACUUUGACAGCAUGCGAUGAUAAUGUGUGUGUAUGGUUAAUUUACAAAAAAAACUUUGAAAAAAAUGUCGCCAAAUGUUGCCAAAUGUCCCAUUAACAUUUUCAGUAUAUAAAAAGGACAUUUUGUUUUUUGACGAUGUGAACAUUUGAACAUGAACUUUGUUCCUGGCAGGUGGACGUGCAGUAGAAAGUGCAUGAGUGCAGUAUAUGCUUCUUUCUUUUUUUUUAUUAACCGGGCCUCCAGUUACAUUUCUAUGAUAUGAUAUAUAUCAUGUGAUGGACAGCUGAAGUCCUGGUUCAGUGGUUAGUGCAGUCUUUUAGUGUAAAUGAAAACCGUGCCACUCCUCACUGAUACAUGUGGGCGUCCAUGUUGCCACCUCCAUUAACUACCUGAAGUUCACGUGCCAAGUUUGAUCAAAAUUAAAUUCAACAGUAGACGAUGCGGGAAGUCUAGAAGACUAUUGAAGUGCAAUUGGUUGUAAAGUCGUCAGUGGUAAUAGAUCAGGGUUUAUUUGAAGCUUUGCUCCACUAUGUUACAUUGGUUUUGAAUUAUCGUAUAUAAACUACGACACCUUUCAGUAUCCCGAUACUGAAAGAGCUUUAAUUCCCUUAUUCCGUUAAUCAAGAAACUUUCUCCCUUCAGUAAGUUUUACUAAAGUAAGUUUUACUAAUGUAAGUAGUAAGUUUUACUAAAGGAAUUGAAUACAGAAACUGAUAAUUGAAUUUAUCUUUAGAAAAGGAUGUACGUAGGAGUCUCUGGAAUCGUAGGAUUUUGAGUUUCCCUCUGGACUUUUUUCCCCCCACUUGCAGUUGCAUUUGUAGAUGAAGCUUCCAGGUCAAAACCAAGCUAACAAAUGUAUACAGAAGUUUUCUGUCAUGACGUUGUGGUUAUAAAUCAGUAAAACUGACAAUUAACUAAUAAUCAGCCAACAGUUUUGCAAUGUUCCUUAUUUGAAAAUAUACUAUAUUUAUUUUAACAUUUGGCAAUACAGAACUCCCAUUCAGACUACAAUAAUAUCCAUAAGGGCUUCAUUGAUAUUGCUUAGCUGCUUUGACGCAGAGCUGUACACCCAUGCGCCCAGUUGAUCAGAAGCAGAGGAAUACAGUGUAAAUAACCAAUUCUUAUACUAAGGAUCCAAUUUCAUACUGACUCCCUGAGGCAAGUUAUAAGUACCAGGAAGCAUUUAGAUGUUUGCAAUUGAACAACUCUGCCUGACACUCAUGAAGCUAACAGACCGUCACAUCCCUCCGUGGCACAGCUCAGCUAUGUUUCCUCGUCGCCGAGUCUAUACUAGUAAUUAACAUGAGAAUGUUUCACCAGGAACCAGAUAAGCAACUUGUGGUGCAAUGAAACCAAGUUUACAUUUAUAAAUUGUGAAAUGUGUGUACCUUAACUAAAUACUCGUUACAGUGGGGAGCCAAGUGUCCCCAGUGUGAGCAGAGGGGUCAAUAGGUUUUAGGGUGUCACCCCUCCCUGCCCAGUGCUAACGGACAGUCAUGCGUUCUAACCAGGGGGAGGGGCGGUUUACAGGGAGGACAGCCACAGCAGGAAACCAGCUUUUCCGCUCAUGUCCUUUCUUCUUAAUUCAUUGUGACUUUUACACAGUGGGGAAAAGUACACGGUUGUUUAUUUUUAAUAAUUGAAAUUCAAAUGUGGAUUUUUCAAGCAAUGAUGAUGAUGAUGUGAAGUGAUGUAGUGUCGUCACUGAGUUUCGAUUUUUUUCUUUCAAUUUCAAAGGGGUUCCAAGCGAGUGGGUUUUUUGAAACGUGGCUGUUGGUUUUGUGGACUUGAAAAGGAAAAGAGUGAGAGCUGACGUGUGCUGAUGGGACACAGGGGGUUUGCAAAGCUUUGGCCUUACUGACACGUUUUAUUUUUCCUUUGUAUUAAAAAAAACAAAAAAAAAACGACAACAAACGUCUCCGUAGGCUUUUCACUACCUCUCAUGUUGGUUAAUUUAUUUCACAUCUAGUUGUCAAUGUACAAGUUGUUUUUACAUCUACUUGAAGCCUAACACUGUAAACAAAAAUGUGCACAGAAAAAUGACUAUGUAUAUGACCAGAGGGGUUACAGAGAGCGUGGCCUAGUUAACUUUUUUUGAUUUUAUGUAUGUUUGUUUUUAGUUGUGUUGAGCUGAACUAGAUUUUGCAUCUCUAUAAAGAAUUCAGGAAUCCACUGUCUAAGGGCUAAUCCCAUUUUUGCCUAUGCAAAUCUGUUACUGUGGGUGAGUUGGGAAAGGGCGAGCAACCGCACCUUUCACCUGUGUUAGAUGGACCAUGGUUUACAUUGCCCUUUGCUGAUAUUCUUCAAUCUUAUUCAGCAAAAAUGUACACUUAUUUUUGUUUCUAUAUGAAUAUUAUAUAUAUAAAUAUAUAUAAAGUAACAAGUAAUAUACAGAGAAAAUAGUUUAUGCCUUCGUGAUGAUAAAAAAAGAAACCUUGCUGAAAACAAAUAAAUGUAUUGUUGUCUGACAUUAUGUGGCUGUGUGCUGGAGUUUUGGUAAGAUGAUAGACGACUGGAAUUCAGCUGACCGUUAAGCAACAGACUGUCAGGAAAAACUCUCAUUAUUCAUUGUUCAAUGCUAGUAGCUGAUCCUGUGAAGUAUUUCAUAAUUGUGGGGGGGAGCAACCACAUCAUGACUUUCUGUGACAAAUAUUGUUAUCCAGCCCCAGCCUGUGAUCUGAACAAGGUGUUUGGGUCAUCUAGGACUUGUUCUUGUCAUUGUUCAUCGUAAUGUUAGGUCAUUUAUAAAGCAAGACUAUGUAACCUUCGCUAGACAAAGACCAUUGUUGCAACAGAUGACAGUUAAUAGAUAAGAUGUGUAAAAGUAGCACACGUAGAGAACAGUCAAAUCAUAAAGUAACACUGGUGACUUAGACCAGACAGGACCAAGUAAGGCUGCAACACCAAAACAAUUGAGUGCAUUGAAUUGAGAAAAGGUCCGUUGUACUGCUUAUGAAUGCAACUUUACUUUUGCUGGACUGUGUUUUUUCUCCAUGCAAAAGUUACAUAGUCUCACUUUGAAGGGCUGAGUUGGAGCAAACCUGGACGCCAGCUGAGAUAUUAAUGUCUGCCUGUGUGUGCACUGUCCAUACGCAAGUCACGUUUCAUAACCAGUGAUUCGUGAAUGAAAUGUACGAAUUAUUCCACCCGCCAUGAAAUAAUUAACAUUUUUUAAAUUUUUGUCAGGGGACACUGAACAGCGGUUGUGAAUUUGUAAUCAGAUGAGUACAGCAACAUGUCAUCAGCAAACAGCAGCAACUUUGCGAUCUAUUCCCCGACUUCUUGUUCCUUCUGUAGCCACAUCCAGUCAGACUUUCACUGUGUGAAUAGCAGCGUCGAUGCGAAACACUUCAGUAGAAGUGUGCUUUCUUUCCAUUUUUUGUAAUUACUAAAUAUUGCAGAAAUGUCAAAUGUGAAAAAAGUAUAAAUUGCUUUCAAGACCAAGCAUUCAGCUCUUAUGAGCCACUUUUGCUCCAGGUUGAGGUAUGAUUAAAAGCUAAAAAACUUUAUUUGGACAUAAUUUUAGCUCCUGAAGUCUAACGGAUGUGAGAAAACGCAAGUUAAUGUUGUAUAGAGGUUUCCCACAAUUCCUCGUGGCUAAGGGAAGACGGGUUUAUCCACUGAUGUUGGUUUGAAACUGCCCGAGUAUGUGUUCCCUCAGUUGGAUUUGGUGCCUCUUCACACUUCACGUCAGACUUCAAGAUCUCUCUUUGCCUCGCUGUCUGUCACCUCUUCUCUCUCGGGCUCUCUCUUCCUCUGUCUGGAACAUCACAAACAACAAUUAAUUUAAGUCGGAGCAGAGACAGCCCCGCUUUGCAGCAAAAAUCGCACUGAUGUUUGUUCCUCCUACACGUGAACACCGACUCCCUCAUAUCGUCUCUCUUUUACCUCUUCCAGAGGUGUUUGUGAUACUUUGGGAAAAAAGAUUAUAUUUGUGCAGGCACAGGUUGAAGUUGGCUUUCAGCUGAUUUUAGGCAAUCACUCUUCUCUUUAUUGAUUUAGAUGCCUAAGCCUCGUGGUUUCUGUCACGCCUGUGAAGAUAGAUCACUGUUGUUGAGAGAUGAUCUGCAGGUGAAAAUAAAAACAAUUUUACUGUCACUUUGGGCAAGAAAAGUGAUAUUUUUUUCUAUUCAGCAUGCUUUUUGCUAAAUAAAUGAAAUAAUUCAGUUAUUUGCUAUAAACAAUACUGUAUGAGUAUGUAUUCGAGUACUGCAGUAUGCAGACUAUUAAAAAUAUUAGAAACUCUUUUGAGAGGUUCAUAUUUUUUCCCCCCGAGUAUGUUUCACUAAUAUUGAAGGUUAUGGGAACUUAAUUCUUUAUUUGAGUGUCUCGUGAUUUAUCAGAAUGACUAAAGGACCCUCUUUGUAUUAACAAAUAUAGACCUUGGUUGGUUAUUUCCACAUGCAUGAAUUGCAGAGCAAUUUUAUCCGGACGGUGCCAGUGCAGGGGCUUUUCGUUCAAGGAUUUUGGUCAGUCGAGCUAAAUUUUUCACUAUUCUGCUUCAAGAACAUUUGAUGAUGACAGAGAUCCUGACUUUUAUUUACAUCGAGGCAGGCGGUUUAUCAUUGUGACCACCUAUGGUCAAAAGUCAGCGAGUGACGUGUAUUUUUCUCGCAGGGCCUUAUCCUGAAAUUACGAGGCAGAUGUGACACUUUGUUCCGAUUUAAAAUGCUGAGAUGGUCAAAUGAAAGCAGGGCUUCAAAUGGCAGCCAGUAAGAGAGAGCUCUUGUGCAACGUCCUACAAACAUCGCAGAGCACUGUGUACAUUAACCUACAGGGAUAUGAUGGCUUUUUAUCAUGACCUUUGAAUUUUAUCAAAGGGAACUGAUCAUCAGUCCUCGUGUCCAAAGCUCCCCGAGAUGGAGGAAUUCCCUCAGUUGUAGCAUUGAACGGACUUUCUCACUGGUCUGACCUUACUGAUGAAACGCCAUCCUCUGUUGCAGUGUAGCAGUGGGAACUCCUCUCACCGAGCCUCGUCCUACAACUGGACAGACAGAUUCAAGACGGCUAAUGGAAAAAUUAACAGCACUGAGCGUUUAGGAAUUUGUGAGCAACAUGGAAUGAUGUUGGUAUUGGUAAACCUCUGCAUGACAGUACAGUACAGAUGUGUCAUUUAGUUUUCACAGGGGACAGACGGUAGAAUCGAGAUUCAAUAUUUAUUUACAUCGAGUUAAGACAAAUGUGAAGUUGUUCUGGUCAAUACAUUUACACUAGCAGUGUGAUACUGUGGUUAACUGUGAUGGUGUGGAGAAUAUUUAGACAUUUUUUGAAAAUACACAUCUUUACUUUUGCUCAAUGCCACUCUCAUAUGUGAACUGUAUGGAGCUACAACUUCUCGCAGCUAGGACUGGCUAGAUAAGACUAUCUCGUAUCCUGGCACUGUCCGACUAAAGCCAUUCAUUUUAUCUUGUUUAAUACAUUCAAAAGUGUAAAAAUAACAAUUCAUGGUUAGUUUUUGGGGUACGAUUAUUCCAUGGCAAGAUAACCCCUAAUGGCUCCAGUUUCAUGUGAAUCGUAUAGGUUGAGAUGGUAUAGAUUUUCAAAUAUAACUCUUGACAAGCAAAGCAAAUGAAUGUAUUUGCAAAAUAAUCACCCCCAAAAUUUAAAAAUGUAAAUCAUUGAGCGACAUAAAAUUUCAAAACACAGGGAAAAGGAAAAAGCACAGUUGAAUUUGCCUGACACGGCGAUCAAUGCAACUCUCCCAGCAAGUUCAACAAUGAAUCUUUGGUGGAUACAAUAUGCCAAAGUUAUAAUCAAACUUUUGUUUCAAAUGUAAAGGCGUCAAAGGAAUUGUCGGAAUAUGAAAUCAUGUUUCUUAGACAUUUUGUCACUUGUCUUUUCACUUUGCUGUCAUAGGUUUGUGUCAUGUCUCUGAAUCGUGCACAUACAGUAUGAUCUACUUCACAGACAACCAACAGACCCGAAGGCUUUGUAAACAUGUUUGACGUGUGACCGAUGUGGAAUAGCAACGAUAUCAGAUCCAACUGAAUUUGUACCUGUGUGACAAAAGAAGUUAUUCACUGUUUUUUAAUUUGUUUUGAACUGUUUUAAUUCAUUUUAACAAGAGGUGCAUUUCAGUCGUAGUUUUUUUUUUACUUUUAUUUUAUCUCAAAAGACAGAAAAAAAUGUGUUGUCCAUCGGCCUUUGACUUCACGUUAACAAUGUGUUCAAGUGUGGUACAUUUUGAUCGACGGUUCAGUCUUGCAUUAAGAGAAAAAAACUCCAAUCUACAGUUACUGCCCUUGAAUAUCUGUAAUUUAAAUAGUGCUGCUAGAGAAAUCUAAAUGUUACAACUUAAAAUAAACAAUUAAUAGAUUUUU